CCGCUGCCAACCUAUCUAUUGCUGCUAAGCUAUCCCUCGCUGCUAAGCUAUCGCCGCUGCCAACCUAUCUAUUGCUGCAAGCUAUCCCUCGCUGCUAAGCUAUCCCUCGCCGCUAAGCUAUCCCUCGCUGCUAAGCUAUCCCUCACUACUAAGCUAUCUAUCGCUGCUAAUCUAUCGCUGCCAACCUAUCUAUCGCUGCCAACCUAUCUAUCGCUGCCAAUUUAUCUAUCGCUGCCAAUUUAUCUACCACUGCCAAUCUAUCUAUCACUGCUAAUCUAUCUAUUGCUGCUAAUCUAUCGCUGCUAAUCUAUUGCUGCUGCCAAUCUAUCUAUCACUGCUAAUCUAUCACUGCUAAUCUAUCUAUCGCUGCUAAUCUAUCGCUGCUGUCAAUCUAUCUAUCGCUGCUAAUCUAUCGCUGCUAAUCUAUCGCUGCCAACCUAUCUACCGCGGCGAAUCUAUCUAUUGCUGCCAACCAACCUACCUACCACUGCCAACCUAUCUAUCGCUGCCAAUCUAUCGCUGCCAAUCUAUCGCUGCCAAUCUAUCGCUGCCAACCUAUCUACUGCAGUGAAUCUAUCUAUCACUAUCAUUACUAGUUCAAAAUAGAACUAGAGCAUAAAUACAUUAAACUUCUUUUGAUAGAUAAUGAUUUUUGAUAACACUCAUAGCAUUAUAUCAUCUAUAUAGGGUAAAUCAUGGUCCCAUUUGGUCCCAUUUUAACAAAAUGAGAUCAAAUGGGAUCAGAAUCAGUAAUUUAUAAGAAGAACAUGACCUGAGACUAGAUUUAUAAUAUAAACAGUGUAAAGUUACUAAUUUAAUAAACACUAUAU
rnacentral:sRNA from 1 species